UGCAGUCGACGGUGAAGAGGAGCUUGCUCCUUGGAUCAGUGGCGAACGGGUGAGUAACACGUGAGCAAUCUGCCCUUGACUCUGGGAUAACUGCGGGAAACUGUAGCUAAUACCGGAUAUUACCUUGGAAGGCAUCUUCUGGGGUGGAAAGAAUUUUGGUCAAGGAUGAGCUCGCGGCCUAUCAGCUAGUUGGUGAGGUAAUGGCUCACCAAGGCGACGACGGGUAGCCGGCCUGAGAGGGUGACCGGCCACACUGGGACUGAGACACGGCCCAGACUCCUACGGGAGGCAGCAGUGGGGAAUAUUGCACAAUGGGCGCAAGCCUGAUGCAGCAACGCCGCGUGAGGGACGACGGCCUUCGGGUUGUAAACCUCUUUUAGUAGGGAAGAAGCGAAGUGUUUUACAUGGAGUGACGGUACCUGCAGAAAAAGCACCGGCUAACUACGUGCCAGCAGCCGCGGUAAUACGUAGGGUGCAAGCGUUAUCCGGAAUUAUUGGGCGUAAAGAGCUCGUAGGCGGUUUGUCGCGUCUGCUGUGAAAACUGGGGGCUCAACCCCCAGCCUGCAGUGGGUACGGGCAGACUAGAGUGCGGUAGGGGAGAUUGGAAUUCCUGGUGUAGCGGUGGAAUGCGCAGAUAUCAGGAGGAACACCAAUGGCGAAGGCAGAUCUCUGGGCCGUAACUGACGCUGAGGAGCGAAAGCAUGGGGAG
rnacentral:rRNA from 1 species